rnacentral:rRNA from 1 species
GUGCCAGCAGCCGCGGUAAUACGGAGGGUGCAAAGCGUUAAUCGGAAUUACUGGGCGUAAAGCGCACGCAGGCGGUUUGUUAAGUCAGAUGUGAAAUCCCCGGGCUCAACCUGGGGACUGCAUUUGAAACUGGCAAGCUUGAGUCUCGUAGAGGGGGGUAGAAUUCCAGGUGUAGCGGUGAAAUGCGUAGAGAUCUGGAGGAAUACCGGUGGCGAAGGCGGCCCCCUGGACGAAGACUGACGCUCAGGUGCGAAAGCGUGGGGAGCAAACAGGAUUAGAUACCCUGGUAGUCCACGCCGUAAACGAU